rnacentral:rRNA from 1 species
UACGUAGGCAGCGAGCGUUGUUCGGAGUUACUGGGCGUAAAGGGUGUGUAGGCGGUUGUUUAAGUUUGGUGUGAAAUCUCCCGGCUCAACUGGGAGGGUGCGCCGAAUACUGAAUGACUUGGAGUGCGGGAGAGGAGAGUGGAAUUCCUGGUGUAGCGGUGAAAUGCGUAGAUAUCAGGAGGAACACCGGUGGUGUAGACGGCUCUCUGGACCGUAACUGACGCUGAGACACGAAAGCCAGGGGAGCGAACGGG